AAUAAACGUUGCCAUGAGUUUCCGUGUUCAACUUUGACCAUCCAUUUUAUUUAAUUUUUUUUAUAAUUAAUAUUUUUAUUGUUAUUAGAUUAUAAAAUAUAAAUAGUAUUUUAUGUGUGACUGAUGCUUUUUAGGUUUUUUAAAAAAAAAUUAAAUAAGACGAACAGUCAGACACAAAAAUUCAUGUCUGCGCUUAUU
rfam:Oryza sativa Japonica Group DNA, chromosome 3, cultivar: Nipponbare, complete sequence.